GAUGAACGCUGGCGGCGUGCCUAAUACAUGCAAGUCGAGCGAACGGACGAGAAGCUUGCUUCUCUGAUGUUAGCGGCGGACGGGUGAGUAACACGUGGAUAACCUACCUAUAAGACUGGGAUAACUUCGGGAAACCGUAGCUAAUACCGGAUAGUAUUUUGAACCGCAUGGUUCAAAAGUGAAAGACGGUCUUGCUGUCACUUAUAGAUGGAUCCGCGCUGCAUUAGCUAGUUGGUAAGGUAACGGCUUACCAAGGCAACGAUGCAUAGCCGACCUGAGAGGGUGAUCGGCCACACUGGAACUGAAACACGGUCCAGACUCCUACGGGAGGCAGCAGUAGGGAAUCUUCCGCAAUGGGCGAAAGCCUGACGGAGCAACGCCGCGUGAGUGAUGAAGGUCUUCGGAUCGUAAAACUCUGUUAUUAGGGAAGAACAUAUGUGUAAGUAACUGUGCACAUCUUGACGGUACCUGAUCAGAAAGCCACGGCUAACUACGUG
rnacentral:rRNA from 1 species